rnacentral:rRNA from 1 species
GAUCAUAGCUCAGGAUGAACGCUGGCGGCGUGCCUAACACAUGCAAGUCGAACGGACUUACAUUGAAGCCUAGCGAUAUGUAAGUUAGUGGCGGACGGGUGAGUAACGCGUGGGUAACCUGCCUUGUACUGGGGGACAACAGUUGGAAACGACUGCUAAUACCGCAUAAGCGCACAGCUUCGCAUGAAGCAGUGUGAAAACACCGUCGGUACGAAAGAAUGGACCCGGCCCGGUCCUCGAGUUA